rnacentral:misc_RNA from 1 species
UAAUGAUUCAACAGAUUAGUGAAACUAGAAAUUGUACUGAAGACUUUCUAUCACUUAAAUACAUGCUAAGACAUUACAGUGUCUAAAAAGUAAAAACAAUAGUUAAAGACUACAGGCCAAUCCAUUAUACAGGAUGAUGUAACCUUAUGAUGUACAACAUUCUAAUAUUCUAGAGGAGAGAAAGCUAAAGCAUAGGGCUUGUUUCUCAAUUACCAGCACAUAAAUGCAACUACGGGAUAAAAGGUGGGUAGAUUAGAGUCUCAUUUCACAUUUAA